CGUGAGCACAUCUACCGGUGACUCCAUGGCAACCGCUUGAGUUAACAUAGAUAAUGGCAGAGAUCGUCUGUACUAAGAAAUAAUUUUUGCAGAAAAUGUGUGAAGAGUUUGAGGCCGAACAGCACAGCGGUCCCAGCCCUGCGUGGACAGAGGCCAGCUCUGUGAGCACCCAGCUCUCCCGGCACAGCGUACUUAUGGAUGAUGAUCUUCUCAGAGACUUUGAGCCCGAUGUUUGCUGUGCUCUCCCUGGAUACUCUGCAUUAAAAGGACCUCAUCCUUCAC